CCUACGGGAGGCAGCAGUGGGGAAUAUUGGACAAUGGGGGAAACCCUUAUCCAGCGACGCCGCGUGAGGGAAGAAGGUUUUCGGAUUGUAAACCUCUGUCAGUGGGGACGAUAAUGACGGUACCCACGGAGGAAGCCACGGCUAACUACGUGCCAGCAGCCGCGGUAAUACGGAGGAUGCGAGCGUUAUCCGGAUUUAUUGGGUUUAAAGGGUGCGUAGGCGGGCAUUUAAGCCGGCGGUCAAAUGUCGGGGCUCAACCCCGGCCUGCCGUCGGAACUGGGUGCCUUGAGUGGGCGAGAAGUAUGCGGAAUGCGUGGUGUAGCGGUGAAAUGCAUAGAUAUCACGCAGAACCCCGAUUGCGAAGGCAGCAUACCGGCGCCCUACUGACGCUGAGGCACGAAAGUGCGGGUAUCGAACAGGAUUAGAUACCCCAGUAGUC
rnacentral:rRNA from 1 species